UACGUAGGUGGCAAGCGUUGUCCGGAUUUAUUGGGUUUAAAGGGUGCGUAGGCGGAAUGAUAAGUCAGUGGUGAAAGCCCUUCGCUUAACGAAGGAGCUGCCAUUGAUACUGUCAAUCUUGAAUACAUUUGAUGUGGGCGGAAUGUGUCAUGUAGCGGUGAAAUGCUUAGAUAUGACACAGAACACCGAUUGCGAAGGCAGCUCACAAAACUGUUAUUGACGCUGAGGCACGAAAGCGUGGGUAUCAAACAGU
rnacentral:rRNA from 1 species